GGAUGUGGUCUGGUUCGUCACACUGAACCUGAGGACACAGCUGAUGCCUCCGAGUAGCACUCUGAUGUUCCCAGUUCCUCCUCUCUCACACAGCAUUAAAAAAUCUGGAUAAAAGGUAAGAAAUAGGCUUUAUUAAGUUUAAAUAUGCAUGAUGUUUCUGAGAAAAGUGCAGUGCGGCAUUGAGAAACGUCCAAAAGCUUGACUACUUAUUUUUUCCCUCUUCCUCUCUCCUUCUCAAGAAUAGUUAAUAAUUGAAAACAGAGAAGGGAAGGAAAGGGGGAAAAAGACACCAAGAUUCUGACACACUCUGCAUAAACAUCUGCUUAUUAGUGACCCUAGAUGCCACACACAGUCACAGCGGCUCUGAAGCACCCCGCUGAGAGCUCAGAUGUCAGAGGUCGGCCUUCACCAUCAUAACCUCUACAGAAGUGUCUUCCGGUCUUUCACAGCUCUGACCUCAGUGUACUGGACCCCGCAGAUGCAUGUGACCUUCCCAUGAAGUGCAUUUGGAGAAGUCACACCGUGCUGCCACCAGUUCAGUUCUUGGAAAGCACGCCUCAAAAUUCAAUCACACACGAGCACCAUCUAGGCACCCAACUCCACCCCCUUGUUGACUUGAUUAAGAGUGCCAUGCAGGCAGAUGUAAAGGGCUGUCAGAGAGGAAUGUCAGGGAGUGAGAGCGGGGACAGUGUCCCAGCAGGCCAUGUCUUGGCUGGGGAGGGUUACAGUGGCUGGCUGCCCGCCUGCUUUGGGCACGCUUGGUAAACGGAGACCCCUGCACUGGAGGGAUACAAAGGGGAGGAUGGCAGGGUGAUGGAGAAGGCAUAAUGCCCUCGGCAUGUGAGAUCUGAGAGUUGGCGACAUCAAGCACUCCAUAUACACUCCAUAUACAUGUAGAUGCACUUGCAGCUUGUGCCAGGCUGUAAUGUGUAUGUAUGUACUGUAUCUGGAUUUUUUUCAUCCUGUUAAUGUUAUAAUAGAUGUUUAGUAUGCAAUCUCAUGCAAAAUAUAGUGUUCUUGUGGCAAAUGUUUGAUAAAAAUAGCUGUAUAGUGUAUAUAUAAACAUUAAAUUCUACUAAAUCAAUUAAUGAAAUUAUUGACUUAGUUGACCUGUUUUAUUUUUAAAAAGCUUAGGC
ensembl:lncRNA